UGGGGAAUAUUGCACAAUGGGCGCAAGCCUGAUGCAGCCAUGCCGCGUGUAUGAAGAAGGCCUUCGGGUUGUAAAGUCCUUUCAGCGGGGAGGAAGGCGUUAAGGUUAAUAACCUUGGCGAUUGACGUUACCCGCAGAAGAAGCACCGGCUAACUCCGUGCCAGCAGCCGCGGUAAUACGGAGGGUGCAAGCGUUAAUCGGAAUUACUGGGCGUAAAGCGCACGCAGGCGGUCUGUCAAGUCGGAUGUGAAAUCCCCGGGCUCAACCUGGGAACGGCAUGCGAAACUGGAGGCUAGAGUCGUGUAGGGGGGGGUAGAAUUCCAGGGGUAGCGGUGAAAUGCGUAGAGAUCUGGAGGAAUACCGGGGGCAAAGGCGGCCCCCUGGACAAAGACUGACGCUCAGGUGCGAAAGCGUGGGGAGCAAACAGG
rnacentral:rRNA from 1 species